AGUGAACGCUGGCGGUAGGCCUAACACAUGCAAGUCGAACGGCAGCACAGUAAGAGCUUGCUCUUACGGGUGGCGAGUGGCGGACGGGUGAGGAAUACAUCGGAACCUACUUUUUCGUGGGGGCUAACGUAGGGAAACUUACGCUAAUACCGCAUACGACCUACGGGUGAAAGCAGGGGAUCUUCGGACCUUGCGCGAUUGAAUGAGCCGAUGUCGGAUUAGCUAGUUGGCGGGGUAAAGGCCCACCAAGGCGACGAUCCGUAGCUGGUCUGAGAGGAUGAUCAGCCACACUGGAACUGAGACACGGUCCAGACUCCUACGGGAGGCAGCAGUGGGGAAUAUUGGACAAUGGGCGCAAGCCUGAUCCAGCCAUACCGCGUGGGUGAAGAAGGCCUUCGGGUUGUAAAGCCCUUUUGUUGGGAAAGAAAAGCAGCAGGUUAAUACCCCGCUGUUCUGACGGUACCCAAAGAAUAAGCACCGGCUAACUUCGUG
rnacentral:rRNA from 1 species